GAGCGUGGAAGCCCACGCCUCGGGUGACAGCAUUUCGUGCUGGCGACAGGAUUAUUCUGCUCCAUGGGUCCAUCCUCUCUCUGAGGGAUAGUAGCUAAAGCCUUUGAACAAGAUCCGCUCUUUCUGAUCCCGUAGAAAGUAAAUUUUGCCAGCCAGCAAAUCUAGAAUACGUAUUUUUAUGGCAAAAGCCACCCCCUCAGAGAUCUGCUGAGAAGGCAGGAGAUGAGGAAGACAGGCAAAGAAGACAAGUUCACCUGAAAGAAGGUUGAGAUAAAGGUGAAUCUGGAGCCUUGAACUCUACCUUCCGUAGACUCAACAUUCCGAUACUUUGCAAGAUUAUAAAGCUACAGCCAAAGGGUGAUGCUUCUCGUGCACAGAGGCGCUCUGUGGUUCCACAGGUCGGUUUUCCACAUCCUCUUCGGAGAAGGGCCAUGUCCAGCGCUGGGAGGAGAGAAGUCAACAGGGCAGAACCCUUGUCGUGAAGAGCAUGCAGUGUGAGCAAAGGAACAGCCGGCCACAGAGAAGACCCACACGUUUUACUAACAAAGUCACGGAACACGUGCUCCAGGAGCAGAGCACAGGGAGACAGGAAGGCUUCCUUUCCAGAGAAGGUGACUUCCGAGCUGCAUCUGAAGGGAAUUCCAUGGAAGACAUGAUGAGUUCCUCUCACUGCCUCCUAGAAGAGACGUGCGGUCAUUUAGUCCCAGUAAAAAGUGGUGCCUGUGAGUUUUCUCCACUGUAAUGUCAUUAUUUUACCGUGAUCAAUGGGUCGCUUGUGAGGAGGUACUUUGAGACUCUGCAAAUAUCCUAUGAUGAAUCAUUCAUCGAUGAUUCUUGACUGACUCAAAUAUUACUACGGCUGCCAAACAGUGGCAUUCUACGUCAUUCCUCCUACAAUCAUAAGCUGACUUUCAACAGUAGGGAGGAGUUUGCUUGUCUGCCUUAUUUAUUUAUACUGGCAUGGACUCAUGAAUCCUCACUCCAUUCAGUUUGUUAUAAUUCUUCACUACCAUCUUUUAUUUAGACACUCAAAUUGUCCCAGAAGUGUGCCAGGUACUUUAUGGAAAAUAUUUCCUGUAAUUCUCAAAGCACAUCUUUGAGGGGUAGGGAUUAUUUUGCAGACAAAGAAACUGAAACUCAGAGAGAUGAACGUUCACCACAUCUAAUUGCUGGAGUUUCCAAACUUCUUAUGCCAAGUGCUCGAUAUUUAUGUGCAUCCACCUUGUAUAUAAAUCCCCCCCCAUCCUGAUGUUUCUGCCGUAUAGGAAUUACCCUCUCGCCUCCUAUUUUUAAGAUAGGAAAAUGAGCUCAGAGAGGUUAGGCAAUGGGUCACAAAAACUAUCAUGAGAAUUCAGAGGCCUAUUUGACAUCACGUGUUGUUUUUCAGCAGCUCACGUUGCUCCUUUAAGAUGUUUUUCCUUUUGCAGAUGGGAUCCUUUUUGCCAUUUAUUUAAUUCUAUUCAGGGAAGAGGAGGUGAAACUGUGGUUUUUUUUUUGGUUUUUUUUUUUUUUUUUAAUAAACAGAUAGCCUGUGUUAGCUUUGGCUACCCUGAUUCUAAUCAGCACGUAGGCUAGGAAGUUGGGGUGACUUUGAUCUUGCUGGAAUCCUUGGUGUUCUUGGGAGCUCAUGUAGUUGACUGACUAAAAAAUUUAAUCUCUCGCGGUGAAUGUGUUCUUCCUAGUUUUUAAGGAAGAUUUUGGGGAAGUCUUUCAUCCUGUAGUCAUUCUUGAAUUUGUUGUCCAUGUAAAUAUGGAUUUUUCCAUUAUUAUGUUUGUGUUAAUCACAGCACAGUGAAGAAAUUUCUCAUUCAUGAAUCACUGGCCAAGGAACGUUGCUCAUAGCUCCAUAAAAACAACGCAGACAUCUUUGAUACUUAGUUAAAAAGCAUCACUCACGCCUAGCUUUGACCCCAGGUGACCUGAAAAUGAGGUUUGAGGACCACUGGACUUCUAAUCACCCCAGAUGCCACUACAAACGCAGAGUUUGGGGUCUUGUCCCGCACUCACCAAAUCAGAAUUCUUCAGUUUUAACAAACUUCCCAGAGACCCCUGAAGCUCACUAAAGUGGACGUGCAUGCUGGUGCCUCUGACCAAGCUUCUUCCUAAGGGCUCACAGUGAUGAUGGCUUUGUACCCACAACGUCAGCCUUUGGGAUCCUUGACCUCUGCCCUGCCUCCUGCCCGCAGCAGGUCGUCACGGGUCAUCUGUGGUCCCACUGCCUCUGGGGGAUGAGCCUGCAGGCAGCAUCAUUCUCCAGGUUUUCCCAGGACAGGAUCUGAGCACAGUGUUUGACAGCCCUGAGCAAAGAUCUCAAAAGCACCAUCUUUCCGGGGAGGGGAGCCAAACCCCUCUUCUAGGCUCUGGUUAAAACCAGUGCAAAUUAAAAUACAAAAAACAAAAAUAAAAAAAA
rnacentral:lncRNA from 1 species